rnacentral:rRNA from 1 species
UACGUAGGGUGCGAGCGUUAAUCGGAAUUACUGGGCGUAAAGCGUGCGCAGGCGGUUUUGUAAGACAGAGGUGAAAUCCCCGGGCUCAACCUGGGAACUACCUUUGUGACUGCAAGGCUAGAGUACGGCAGAGGGGGGUGGAAUUCCGCGUGUAGCAGUGAAAUGCGUAGAUAUGCGGAGGAACACCGAUGGCGAAGGCAACCCCCUGGGCCUGUACUAACGCUCAUGCACGAAAGCGUGGGGAGCAAACAGG